AACUGGUUAUUUUCAACUACAAAUAAAUAUAAGAAAUGUACGUUUUAUUCAGUUAACAUUUAUUUCAAGUAAUGAAAAAUGUUUUUUUCAUGAUUAUAGAUUUUGUUAGUCUUUCCUUCCUGUGAUGGGGCAUCCCAGACAGAAGCUAGAAGUUUACUUUAAAUUAAUUAUACAUUAAAUUUAAAUUAGAUUAAAUAAAGUUUGUGUAACUGGGGUGGAAAUUGGACACAUUGCGUGACUUUUACUCAUAUACAAGCCCGAAAUGCACCGGGACACUUAUUUUGAAAUGUCUAAAGCUUUAUUUUUUCAGACCGCUCAUUCAAAUUCAAAUGAGGGAGAUAAAAUAUGCAUUCUACAUUCAUACAACAUAUUAAAAUAUAAACAAUGUAAUGUAAACAUUGUCAUAAUUAAUCAGCAUUUAGUUCAUAUGCGAUUGCUUGUCAUAAAUGUGUGCUUUUAUCUGAUUGUGAUCUGCUCUGAAGCAGUCUGAAGAACGCACAACAGCGCCACGUUCAGGCUUUGAAACGUGAAGCACUCACAUUUAUUUUAUUAAAUCAAAGCUUAAAUUAACAUUAUUGUUAUGAUUUGUAUAGCAUUAUUAUUAAGAUUUAUUAUUCUAAUUACGGAUUUGCCUCAUCACAAAAUUCUCUUAUAGCGAAUGUGUGAUUCUAUUGGUUGUACAAUAAAAGCUCGCUGCUGAUUGGCUGUGAAAUCAUCAACCCCAGCUGUUGCCACUGAUCAUCGUCCCACUCUAUUCUCUCGAGGUGAGUUAGACGGCUGUUGUUAAAUAUGCUGUAUUAUAAAGCCUUGUAGCCUAAUGUGAAAUGAUGCUCCUUAUGUAGGCAAUAUUAUUCGUAUUAUAAUGUGGUGUAUAGUUUAUAUCGUUUUUGUUGACAUUAAAUGUACCUUUAUAUCUGAAGAUCGUAUGUGUUUGAUACUUAAUGUUUACAGCUAACGUUAGCCAUACUUUCAUCUUUGUGUGAAAACGUAACGUGAUAUUGUGUGUAUUUGAUUGAUAUUACGUUUGCCAUUUGCAUUUAGCAUUACCCACUGCAUGCUGAGGAGUGUUAAUUUUGGCGCUCAUUUUAAGCUAACGUUACAGCAUCCACUGUGGUAGCUUAUGAGAUGAUGUACAAGUUUGUAUUUUACAUGCAUGCAUAUGGAUGCAUAAAUAUUACGAUGAAAAGUGUCGAUUGCUGCAUUAAAUCGAUUUAGAUUUAGAUUUUAGGUUCAUGUCAAUCAACGACAGCGUUGACCAAUCACACGCGUUUUCGCUGAGCUUAGGAACGGAAUAUCCAAUCGAAGGCAGUUGAUUAGUCAUCGGUGAAGAAACCCGGUGAGAACUGAAUGCGCGCUCACUGACAGAAUUCUCUGUCAUAAACAACAAAGUGCAGAUAUGAUGUAUGUAAGAAAUUAAUUUAUGCGAUGUAGACAGAUUUAUUGAAUAUAACGGGUGUUUUUGUCUGUUCUUGGGUACUAUUUGAGAGAGAGCCUCGAAAACCCUUGAUUUCGUGCCACGCAGUCAUGUGGUUCAUUUAGCACCAAUCAGCGCUGUCAAUCUUUGAAUGGAUAUAGACCUAGGAUACAACAAAAUAAUAACGCACAAUGUGAAUCAUAUCGCAUUGAUUACUACUUUGACGACAUUUACAGUAGCAUUUAUUUUUAUAAUUAAUAUUACAAUUGAAUUAAAAUUAUUUUGACAUUUAUAGAGACAGUAUUUUUAGAAAAGGUAAUCUUAAUGAAAUAAGGAACAGCAGAGAGUACAUUUCACUUUAGAGCAGGUUGUCUGUGAGAUGUUUACAGUUGAAAAAUGUUUUCAGUCUUUGCAAUGAAAGUUAAAGUGAGAGUGGAGUUCUUGAGUUUAUGACAUUCUUGUUUCUCUGUUUCAGAAUACUGUUUCACGAGCACUCUUUACUGCAUUUUGAGACUGACAGAGCACAACCUGCAUUCAUCGCUGCACUUUUCUCCUUGGUUCCUUCUGUUUUGACUUUUGGCUUUUUCUACAGAGAGCAGUUCAUUUGUUUGAUUUUCUGUAUUCUGUAUUCUGCAUUUAAAAAAAGUUUAUUUUAAUAGACAGUUUUUUUUUUUUAUUAUUGUUUUUUUUAGAUUUUUUUUUUUAUUUAUUUUUAUUUUUUUGGAAUAAUAUUUGUAGAUCUAAUUUAUAAAUAUUAAUUAGUUCUUUUUCUGUUUUUUUUUAGUCUAUAUUCUCAUACAUAAGUUCAUUUUACUUGUUCUUUUCUUGAAAAAAAAAAAAAAAAAAAAAAAUUGUUUAUUGCAUUUUACAAGUUUACCCAGUGUCUCUUUCAUUGUUGUUUAACAGUUUUUUCUUCUUGAGACUACUACAGGUUUUAUCUUUUCAGGCUCAAGAGCUGUUACGCCAGGAGGACUUUCAAAGAUGCCGCGGAAAGGAAAGAGAUCUCAAGCUCAAAAAAUCCGUUGGAGAAAGUUGACCUGGGAAGACCUGGAAGAUGAACAGACCAGACUCUCCAGGAUUAACAAGGUUGAACAGGCAAGCACCAGUGCUGAUGUAGCUCAGUUUUCAGAUAGUGUGUAUGCAGAAGGUGGUGAUAGUGCACCCAGGGUUUGGUCUGUGCGGGCAUCUCAUUGUCAGAAUGAUGUUAGGUAUGAUGAAUUCUCGAGAAAUCAUCAAUGCACAUGUAUAGCAUUGACAUUUUUGGCCAACCAGAGUGAAGGGAUUCAGUUCAAAAUGCCUGACCUGGAUAGAGUUUUAGAGGAGGGUGAUGCUUUGUAUGUCGGGAUUAAAAUGCAGCUCAUUGCUGAGGAAAGAUUUGAUCGGAACCAUCU